rnacentral:rRNA from 1 species
GACGAACCGUGCAAACGUUGUUCGGAAUCACUGGGCUUAAAGGGCGCGUAGGCGGGCUCGCCAGUCAGGGGUGAAAGCCCACGGCUUAACCGUGGAAGUGCCUCUGAUACUGCGGGUCUCGAGGGAGGUAGGGGCGUGCGGAACUUCCGGUGGAGCGGUGAAAUGCGUAGAUAUCGGAAGGAACACCGGUGGCGAAAGCGGCAUCCUGGACCAAUACUGACACUGAGGAGCGAAAGCCAGGGGAGCAAACGGG